GAUGAACGCUGGCGGCGUGCUUAACACAUGCAAGUCGAACGGAAAGGCCCAAGCUUGCUUGGGUACUCGAGUGGCGAACGGGUGAGUAACACGUGGGUGAUCUGCCCUGCACUUCGGGAUAAGCCUGGGAAACUGGGUCUAAUACCGGAUAGGGCCACAUUUUGGAUGGUGUGGUGGAAAGUUUUUCGGUGUGGGAUGAGCUCGCGGCCUAUCAGCUUGUUGGUGGGGUAAUGGCCUACCAAGGCGUCGACGGGUAGCCGGCCUGAGAGGGUGUACGGCCACAUUGGGCCUGAGAUACGGCCCAGACUCCUACGGGAGGCAGCAGUGGGGAAUAUUGCACAAUGGGCGCAAGCCUGAUGCAGCGACGCCGCGGGGGGGAUGACGGCCUUCGGGUUGUAAACUCCUUUCGCUAGGGACGAAGCGUUAUGUGACGGUACCUGGAGAAGAAGCACCGGCUAACUACGUG
rnacentral:rRNA from 1 species